GCGACAAGCAUGUCACACCCUUUAAGAAGUUCUUUGUACGCAUUGUUAACAACUUGGACAAUAAAAGGUUGGACUUCGAUUGCCGAUCCGAAGACAGUGUUAUUGAUCGUAGUCUUCCCGCCAGUGGGGAUGAGUUUGAAUUUGGAUUUCGUGUGAACUUCCAAUUCACCACAUAUUUUUUCUGCAAUUUGUGGUCCUUGGACCACCUUGUUGCUUUUUAUGGGUUUAAAAUCGAUCAACCGCUUUUGACCCUCUGCGGUGGAUUCCACUGCAUAUGGAAAGCGUAUUUUUUGGAGGAUGGGUCUACUUGUAUAACUGCCGAUGGGGCAAUUGGUUAAGGAAGUAUUUUUUGUAGAAUAAGCAUGGUCAAGUGAAACUGAUUCUUAAUGAUUAAUUAGUAGCUGUUAAGACUCAAAGCGCACAAAACCUGACAGGACCCGAUCCCAAUUCCAUUUUGGAAUUCGAACCAAGCCCUGUGUGUGUCCGACAUCUGGCAACUGUCGGGCACAAAUGACCAUUUUAUCCUUCAUGCUACAAUUACUAUGAAAACUUUCCCCGGACUUCUGCCGAAAAUUCGGCAGAGUCUCCCCUAUAUUUUGACCAAACCCAAAAUCUUCCACCUGUUAAACAAUUAAAUAAAUCCACACCAACUGCUAGAAUAAAAUAACCAAGUAUUCACCAGCUCCAGUUUUCCACUAAAACUAGAUAUCAGAGCAUUUUCUAAAGUUUACAAGGGUUUCAAGGACUUUUCCACAAAACUCUACCUUACUUGGUGGCGCGGAAACUAGGAAUGGCCCGGUGGUGGAUCCUGCGCACUUCUACAGCCUGGGAGCGAAAAAACAAGUUGAAAGUUUGUGAGUGGACCAAACAUAAGGUUCUUGAAAACAGUUUAUAAUCAUAGUAACCCCCAUGGUAAAAUAACUUGAUAAGUAAAGCUAAAGUUCGCCUGUAUUUAAUAUAAGGUCUUCAUCUAAAUAUAUACACAUAUAUAUAUAUAAUUGUAUGUAUAUAAAUUCGUAAAACUGAACAAUUAUAUGGAGAUAUAAACAUGCACGAAUAAUGAGAAAACUGAUAUAAAAUGAUUGAAAUCAAUAGCUGUGUAAAAGUGCUCAAAUUCCUUUAAAACUACCACCUAAUUGUACCAUUGUCAAUCCGUCAAUUCCCCUGGCAGGUCUCGGGCGACACGCAGUCUAUCCGAACUGCAAACUGGCAAGAUACAGGGGACUAUGGUCAGCCUGAUCCGCCGGCAGGUCUCAAUGACACCAAGUCGACUCGAGCCGCUCUGGCAGGUCUCGGGGACACAGAGUCAGCCGAGCCGCAAAUCCUGGCAGUUCUCGGGACACAAAGUCUGCCGAGCCGCAAAUCCUGGCACUCACGGUCCGAGCGUCCCCGAAAUUCGUAAGGCAAAGUCAAGUGCACUGAUUGAACUGUAAACAGACUGGAUGUCCAUAGACAUCGGUCCGUCUGAGGGUAAUCACCAAAUAAAAGGCGGGUACAUGGUGGUUCUAAAACAACUAUUUUAGAAAAACUUGAUAUUUCUCUGAAAUCUGAUAGAUCUGAGUUAAGCUGCUAUUUCUGUAUCACAAAUCUCAAGUCUGCUGCUCAACUAAGUAAUAUAAAAGUAAAGAUAUUUUAUGCUACAAUUAAUGGUCGGAACACAUGUAAUAACACUUAUUCAAGAUCAAAUACUGGAAUUUAUUCAGAUAAACUCAUUUAUAAAAACUUAUUUAUAUAAAAUCAAUAUAAAAUCAUUUACGUAAACUCAUUUAUAUAACUUAUUUAUAUAAAAUCCUUUAUGAAAGAAAGUCCACUCACUGCUGGUCUGAGCUAGCUGGACCUCUUGAAGGUCCCUCUUGUGGUUAUGCCGGGCCUCUGGUGCCUGAUUACCCAUAAAGAUAAAAUUAAUAAAACUGCUCAAUAAUAGAAUUUAAAUUAAACACCUUGCCCCGGCUCCUAGAAAUGCGUGUACACAUUUUAAAGUCGCUCAUAUGCCCGCUUAACCUUUCAGACAAUUAAAACAGCCUUGAAAGACCUGAAGUUUUACUAAGCGAUAAACUGUCAGACCGGCCGAUCAGGGACCCGUGGGGUCCACGAUCUCCGAUGGCCAAUCUGGGCUUCUCUGAAGGUUCCUCAUAGAGAAGGAACCAUGUUCCGCGAAUUUGGUCCGAAACGGACGGUCGGAUUGGCCAAAAUCAUGUUAUCGCUUAAAAUCCAAACCCUAGCCCUAGGGUUCGCGAUUUUGGAGUAUCCGGGACUCGGAUUUGCAAUCUGUCGAAUCCUACACGAUUCUGAAAUCAUGUAGUAUGACAUAUCCAAAAUUGAGUGCGAUCCAACGAUUUGACGACACUGUACCCAAGUAUCGCGCGAUAUAAAAAAUCCGUUCGGGGCUCAAACGGACUCCAAAUUGAGAUCCGCGAAAUCCUACGCGCUUGUAACGACACGAGGAUCGCAAAACUACAUAGAGUCAGUCCACCACCCUUGCCCACGAUCCGCCACACGGGCGGGCAGAUUGGGUGUCCAAAGCAAUUAUGGGUUGCCGGAAAAUCUCGGAACCAGGACUUCAAACUCCUAUCCUAGGUAAAACACCCCAUUUGGAGUCACUUUUGUUCUUGGGCAUACGCCAAAAAGUGACCGGAAAUGGCCGAUCACGGCGGCCGAAGUUCGGCCAAUUUUCAAGUUGAAAAUCGAGUGUUCUAGAGCCAAAAUCGAUUAAAACCCAUACAUCCAUCAGUUAGAACAUGAAAAAUAGCUGAGAAACCAUACCUUACUCGAUCGAUUUGGUAGAGAAUUGAGGGAGAACGAAGAGCUGGAAGAUUAGAUGACAAUCCGGCAAAGAUUUGCAGUUUCCGGCGAGCUCCGGCCACGGCAAGGGCGGCGACGGGUCGGGGAAGGACGGUGGGUGAGUGGUGGUCAGUUUGGUACCAGCGGAGGAGAUCGGUUCGACCUGUGGCGGCCGGGGCGACGUCGAGAAGGCGCGGAGGUCAGGCGGCGGUGCGAAUCGGGAGAAGAGAGAGAGAGAGAGGAGAAAGAAAUGAGGAGAGAGAAGGGAUAAAGAGAUAAAAAUCUGACUUUUUGUCUAAAUUACCAUUUUGCCCUUCGCGGUAUUUUGAUCGUAUUUUCUUCGUUACAACUCCGAUUCGAGUCUACUCCGUGUCUACGGACUCGUUUCGCCGUGCUCUACGCAACAGCGCAAGCGGAAUUGCCAAAUUCUUUCUUGAUCAAAAAGUUAACUUUUUCCUUAUUAAAUAAUGCGAGGGCAAAAUUGUCUUUUUGCUAGAAGAUAUUAAUCCUACUUUUUAUAUAUUUUGUUACUUUUUUGAUAUUUUGUUUUGGGUUAUUACAAAACCUUUCUUCACAUUUAUUUUAUUUUUCUUAUAAUAUCUUACAAAGAAUAAAUUAAAGAGCUGUGAAAUUUGUUACAUUUCUCCUUAAGUUAAUGUCUCUUGCUUGUUUUGUUUGGACAUAAAAAACCUGUGUAAAACAGAGAUUUGCACUGUUAUGCUUUCACCAGUCAAUCACAUUUUGACACGUGAAAAAGUUAUUACAAGUGACAUGUCGUAAUUGGCCUUUUGCUAUACCCGUUUCACACAAGUGUUUCUCCUGUUUGGGGGUUAGGGGGUCAUCUUGGCCAAGCUGA
rnacentral:lncRNA from 1 species